UGGCGGACGGGUGAGUAAUGUCUGGGAAACUGCCUGAUGGAGGGGGGUAACUACUGGAAACGGUAGCUAAUACCGCAUAACGUCGCAAGACCAAAGAGGGGGACCUUAGGGCCUCUUGCCAUCGGAUGUGCCCAGAUGGGAUUAGCUAGUAGGUGGGGUAAAGGUUCACCUAGGCGACGAUCCCUAGCUGGUCUGAGAGGAUGACCAGCCACACUGGAACUGAGACACGGUCCAG
rnacentral:rRNA from 1 species